AUACAUGCAGUCGAACGCUUCUUUUUCCACCGGAGCUUGCUCCACCGGAAAAAGAGGAGUGGCGAACGGGUGAGUAACACGUGGGUAACCUGCCCAUCAGAAGGGGAUAACACUUGGAAACAGGUGCUAAUACCGUAUAACAAUCGAAACCGCAUGGUUUUGAUUUGAAAGGCGCUUUCGGGUGUCGCUGAUGGAUGGACCCGCGGUGCAUUAGCUAGUUGGUGAGGUAACGGCUCACCAAGGCCACGAUGCAUAGCCAACCUGAGAGGGUGAUCGGCCACAUUGGGACUGAGACACGGCCCAAACUCCUACGGGAGGCAGCAGUAGGGAAUCUUCGGCAAUGGACGAAAGUCUGACCGAGCAACGCCGCGUGAGUGAAGAAGGUUUUCGGAUCGUAAAACUCUGUUGUUAGAGAAGAACAAGGAUGAGAGUAACUGUUCAUCCCUUGACGGUAUCUAACCAGAAAGCCACGGCUAACUACGUGCCAGCAGCCGCGGUAAUACGUAGGUGGCAAGCGUUGUCCGGAUUUAUUGGGCGUAAAGCGAGCGCAGGCGGUUUCUUAAGUCUGAUGUGAAAGCCCCCGGCUCAACCGGGGAGGGUCAUUGGAAACUGGGAGACUUGAGUGCAGAAGAGGAGAGUGGAAUUCCAUGUGUAGCGGUGAAAUGCGUAGAUAUAUGGAGGAACACCAGUGGCGAAGGCGGCUCUCUGGUCUGUAACUGACGCUGAGGCUCGAAAGCGUGGGGAGCAAACAGGAUUAGAUACCCUGGUAGUCCACGCCGUAAACGAUGAGUGCUAAGUGGUUGGAAGGGUUUCCCGCCCUUCAGUGCUGCAGCUAACGCAUUAAGCACUCCGCCUGGGGGAGUACGACCGCAAGGUUGAAACUCAAAGGAAUUGACGGGGGCCCGCACAAGCGGUGGAGCCAUGUGGUUUAAUUCGAAGCAACGCGAAGAACCUUACCAGGUCUUGACAUCCUUUGACCACUCUUGAGAUAGAGCUUCCCCUUCGGGGGCAAAAUGACAGGUGGGGCAAGGGUUGUCCUCACCUCCUGUCCUGAGAAGUUUGGGUUAAUUCCCCCCACCAAAGCAACCCUCUAUUGUUAGUUUGCCCCCCUUCAAUUUGGGGACUCUUCCAAAACAGCCGGUGACAAACC
rnacentral:rRNA from 1 species